UAGUAAAAAUUUUAUCCAUUUGUGUUAUUAAAAAUCGGCAUGACAUGUGACAUGCCAUGUGUACCUUAUGCUAACAUACAAAGACCAGUUUUUAACUUAUGCUAACAUACAACUACCAGUUUUUAACAGUAAAAAUUGAUAGAAUUUUUAAUA
rnacentral:pre_miRNA from 1 species